rnacentral:rRNA from 1 species
GUAAAGAGCUCGUAGGUGGUUUGUCGCGUUGUUCGUGAAAUCUCACGGCUUAACUGUGAGCGUGCGGGCGAUACGGGCAGACUUGAGUACUGCAGGGGAGACUGGAAUUCCUGGUGUAGCGGUGGAAUGCGCAGAUAUCAGGAGGAACACCGGUGGCGAAGGCGGGUCUCUGGGCAGUAACUGACGCUGAGGAGCGAAAGCGUGAGGAGCGAACAGGAUUAGAUACCCUGGUAGUCCACGCCGUAAACGGUGGGUACUAGGUGUGGGUUUCCUUCCUUGGGAUCCGUGCCGUAGCUAACGCAUUAAGUACCCCGCCUGGGGAGUACGGCCGCAAGGCUAAAACUCAAAGAAAUUGACGGGGGCCCGCACAAGCGGCGGAGCAUGUGGAUUAAUUCGAUGCAACGCGAAGAACCUUACCUGGGUUUGACAUGCACAGGACGCCGGCAGAGAUGUCGGUUCCCUUGUGGCCUGUGUGCAGGUGGUGCAUGGCUGUCGUCAGCUCGUGUCGUGAGAUGUUGGGUUAAGUCCCGCAACGAGCGCAACCCUUGUCUCAUGUUGCCAGCGGGUAAUGCCGGGGACUCGUGAGAGACUGCCGGGGUCAACUCGGAGGAAGGUGGGGAUGACGUCAAGUCAUCAUGCCCCUUAUGUCCAGGGCUUCACACAUGCUACAAUGGCCGGUACAAAGGGCUGCGAUGCCGCGAGGUUAAGCGAAUCCUUUUAAAGCCGGUCUCAGUUCGGAUCGGGGUCUGCAACUCGACCCCGUGAAGUCGGAGUCGCUAGUAAUCGCAGAUC